AACGAACGCUGGCGGCAGGCUUAACACAUGCAAGUCGAACGCAUCCUUCGGGGUGAGUGGCAGACGGGUGAGUAACGCGUGGGAACCUACCUUUAGGUCUGGAAUAACUGAUGGAAACGUCAGCUAAUACCGGAUUGUCCCGAGAGGGUAAAGAUUUAUCGCCUAAAGAUGGGCCCGCGCAGGAUUAGCUAGUUGGUGGGGUAAUGGCCUACCAAGGCGACGAUCCUUAGCUGGUCUGAGAGGAUGAUCAGCCACACUGGGACUGAGACACGGCCCAGACUCCUACGGGAGGCAGCAGUGGGGAAUAUUGGACAAUGGGCGCAAGCCUGAUCCAGCCAUGCCGCGUGAGUGAUGAAGGCCCUAGGGUUGUAAAGCUCUUUCGCACGUGACGAUAAUGACGGUAGCGUGAGAAGAAGCCCCGGCUAACUUCGUG
rnacentral:rRNA from 1 species